CAUUACCCCCGUAGCACCCCAACCCAUUACUACCCCCGAAGGGAAAAAUCCUACACCGGAGAUCAUGAACUCCGUUGCUCAAAAUCCAGAGCCAACUCCCAAGCCAGUGGUAAAGGUACAUAGUUUUUAAAUAUAUAAGCACUUAAUAAUUUAAAUUGCAACGUGUUAUAAUAUUUUAUUAUGAUGCUAAUUUUACUUAACGACACAAUUUUCAAGAGGCGACUCCUUGUUCUAUUUUGCUGCCUCAAUUAGGUGUUGCUAGUGGUGGCGACUUAACUGAGGUUGCAUAUGGUGUGGCACAGCCAACCAAAGAGGGCCAAACAGUGCAUUCCAUGCCUGUUACAGGUGGCCACAUCAAUGUUACCGUAGAAACUAUUUUAAAGGGGUUUGAAGAUUUUUCACUCCUGAUUCCAAUGCCACAAUGGAGCCUUGAGAAACUAUCAGACGCCCUAGGUAGUUUCGUCACAUGGCCAUAUGCUUGGGUCCGAUUCAUUACCAUGCAAAAGAGUCCAAAGGGCUUUAGAAGAGAGAUCGGUUCCUCAUCAAAGGUGUCAAUUGGUUUAAAGUCGGUGACAAUCACUCUAAUUUUGACUGAUGCGGGCUAAAAGAUCUCUCUCAAGAUUGCAAAUGGCUGCACACAUGUGCAUCUCGCAUGUGUGAGGAGGACCCAAUCGUUCUACCCCUGCAGAAGGAACAAUUCUGAAAAGCCUUUUUGUAAUUAUUGGUCCUAGUGACAUUAGGAAAUUUUUGAGAGGAGAAAUGUUGAAUGUAGCUCUUAUCCAUGUCUACAUGAGUGCGGCUUACAAGGAGCUAAAUUCUUGCGAACGUCCAAUAAAAAUUGGAUGGCUUUGUUCUGAAUCGAUUUCGGGUACUAAAAGCGUAAAUGAUCCAGAUUACGUUAAAGCAUACAUUUAGACUGCUUUGAAUAAUUCCCUUGCAUCUAAACACACGUUCAUUCUGGCUUCAUAUGUGGAAGAUUUGCAUUGGAUACUUUUGGUCAUAUGUCCUUUGACGAAUACUGUGCACGUGUUCGACUCAUUACAUAAAGCUCAAAGCCCGCCUCGCAACACAAACAUCUGUUUUCUCUUAGUGCUUUCGACAAGAUAAUACCGUUGGUUGCAGCUACUACACUCUCAAAUAUAUGGACGAUCUCUUACAAUCCGUGAAGAAGGUUGGAGUCGAAAAUAUUGAUGCUGUUUUAUAUGACACUCCAAGGGAAACACCUCAUUUGAAAGAUGGGGAAAUGCGUGAAUUGAAAGACAAGAUUGCCGUGUAUCUUGCUAAUUUAUAUGUUUGGUAAUUAAUGUAAUUAGUUUAAUUUAGAUU